rfam:Methanogenic archaeon ISO4-H5 chromosome, complete genome.
GGGCCCAUUGCUUAGACUGGCUAGAGCGUCCGACUGAUAAUCGGAAGGUCAUGAGUUCAAAUCUCAUUGGGCCCA